AACGAACGCUGGCGGCAGGCCUAACACAUGCAAGUCGAGCGCCCCGCAAGGGGAGCGGCGGACGGGUGAGUAACGCGUGGGAACAUACCCUUUGGUACGGAAUAGCCUCGGGAAACUGGGAGUAAUACCGUAUGUGGUCGAGAGACGAAAGAUUUAUCGCCAAAGGAUUGGCCCGCGUUGGAUUAGGUAGUUGGUGGGGUAAUGGCCUACCAAGCCGACGAUCCAUAGCUGGUUUGAGAGGAUGAUCAGCCACACUGGGACUGAGACACGGCCCAGACUCCUACGGGAGGCAGCAGUGGGGAAUCUUAGACAAUGGGGGAAACCCUGAUCUAGCCAUGCCGCGUGAUCGAUGAAGGCCUUAGGGUUGUAAAGAUCUUUCAGGUGGGAAGAUAAUGACUGUACCACCAGAAGAAGCCCCGGCUAACUCCGUGCCAGCCGCCGCGGUAA
rnacentral:rRNA from 1 species